rnacentral:misc_RNA from 1 species
GAUGAAGAACGUAGCGAAAUGCGAUACGUAAUGUGAAUUGCAGAAUUCAGUGAAUCAUCGAAUCUUUGAACGCAUAUUGCGCUCUCUGGUAUUCCGGAGAGCAUGCUUGUUUGAGUAUCAGUAAACACCUCAACUUCCAUAUCUUUUUUGAAAUGGGAGUUGGACUUGAGUGAUCCCAACGCUUUUCCUCACCGAAAAGUGGCGGGUUACUUGAAAUGCAGGUGCAGCUGGACUUUUCUCUGAGCUAUAAGCAUAUCUAUUUAGUCUGCCUAAAAACAGAUUAUUACCUUUGCUGCAGCUAACAUAAAGGAGAUUAGUUCUUGUGCUGACUGAUGCAGGAUUCACAAAGACAGGCUUCGGCCGACUUUGUAAACUCGAUCUCAAAUCAAGUAAGACUACCCGCUGAACUUAAGCAUGUCAAUAAGCGGAGGA